UAGGGAAUCUUCCGCAAUGGACGCAAGUCUGACGGAGCAACGCCGCGUGAGUGAAGAAGGAAUUCGGUUCGUAAAACUCUGUUGUUAGAGAAGAACAGCGCAUAGAGUAACUGUUAUGCGUGUGACGGUAUCUAACCAGAAAGCCACGGCUAACUACGUGCCAGCAGCCGCGGUAAUACGUAGGUGGCAAGCGUUGUCCGGAUUUAUUGGGCGUAAAGCGAGCGCAGGCGGUCAAUUAAGUCUGAUGUGAAAGCCCCCGGCUCAACCGGGGAGGGUCAUUGGAAACUGGUUGACUUGAGUGCAGAAGAGGAGAGUGGAAUUCCAUGUGUAGCGGUGAAAUGCGUAGAUAUAUGGGGGAACACCAGUGGCGAAGGCGACUCUCUGGUCUGUAACUGACGCUGAGGCUCGAAAGCGUGGGUAGCAAACAGG
rnacentral:rRNA from 1 species